rnacentral:rRNA from 1 species
CGCGUAGGUGGUUCAGCAAGUGGGAUGUGAAAUACCCGGGCUCAACCUGGGUGCUGCAUUCCAAACUGGAAAUCUAGAGUGCAGGAGGGGAAAGUGGAAUUCCUAGUGUAGCGGUGAAAUGCGUAGAGAUUAGGAAGAACACCAGUGGCGAAGGCGACUUUCUGGACUGUAACUGACGCUGAGGCUCGAAAGCGUGGGGAGCAAACA